UGAUGACCGGCCGUAGGUCCAGGGUUC
rnacentral:piRNA from 1 species